rnacentral:tRNA from 1 species
AGUCUUAGGGUGUUACACGUAUGGUUGCAAACCAUAAGAUGUAGAGUAAUUCUCUGCUGGGACUU